rnacentral:rRNA from 1 species
GGUGACAGCGGGCGAGGUGGGGGUGGAAGAGGUAGGGGGGGGGGGGGGUGCGGAAGUACGGGGCGUAAAGGGCGUGUAGGCGGGGCGGGACGUUGGGGGGGAAGUCCCGAGGGUUGAGUUGGGGGGGCCGGUCGAAACGGCCGGGCUAGGGUGCGGGAGAGGGUAGUGGAAUUCCCGGUGUAGCGGUGAAAGGCGUAGAUAUCGGGAGGAACACCUGCGGCGAAGGCGGCUACCUGGACCGUUACCGACGCUGAGGCGCGAAAGCUAGGGGAGCAAACAGGAUUAGAUACCCUGGUAGUC